CCCAGCGAUAGUCAGCUGUACAGGCCAGCCCCAUGCCUGAUUUAGUGUUCCACUGCAGGGAGAGGAAGGCUCUGCUAAUGUGGCUUGGUCCAGCAGACACUGUUUUAGUGGCUGUUGAUGAUGCGCUGUAGCGGAGCUGUGUCCUGAGUGGGCUGUACCCUCCCACUGGGGCAACCCUAGUAGAAGGGCCAACAAA
rnacentral:snoRNA from 1 species